rnacentral:tRNA from 1 species
GGGUUCGUAGCUCAGUUGGCUAGAGCAUCUGUUUUACACACAGAGGGUCACAGGUUCGAGUCCUGUCGAACCCACCA